rnacentral:lncRNA from 1 species
AUUGACAUGAUGAAAUGCAAUAUGAAAUGCUAAAUGAAUGCAUGAAUGAGGAGGGCAAAUUUUGGGGUGUUACACAUAUCUUUGCAAAUAAGAUGAUUCUCAAGACCUUUGAAUAAUCAAGAAACCUUAAUGAAAUGCAAACCCUCGGAUGGUUGAUGAUCAAUUCAUAGAGACCCUCGGGCUCGAAUCAUGUAACGUUUCCAUCUUUUGAAAAGACUUUGGAGGAUGACCUUCUUAUUUUCAUAUGAGAUGCAAAAUGCAAUUCCUAAU